CCUGGUUGAUUCUGCCAGUAGUCAUAUGCUUGUCUUAAAGAUUAAGCCAUGCAUGUCUAAGUAUAAGCAAUUAUACAGCGAAACUGCGAAUGGCUCAUUAAAUCAGUUAUCGUUUAUUUGAUAGUACCUUACUACAUGGAUAACCGUGGUAAUUCUAGAGCUAAUACAUGCUAAAAACCCCGACUUCGGAAGGGGUGUAUUUAUUAGAUUAAAAACCAAUGCCCUUCGGGGCUCACUGGUGAUUCAUGAUAACUUCUCGAAUCGCACGGCCUUGCGCCGGCGAUGGUUCAUUCAAAUUUCUGCCCUAUCAACUUUCGACGGCUGGGUCUUGGCCAGCCGUGGUGACAACGGGUAACGGAGGGUUAGGGCUCGACCCCGGAGAAAACGCCUGAGAAACGGCGUUUACAUCCAAGGAAGGCAGCAGGCGCGCAAAUUACCCAAUGCCGACACGGCGAGGUAGUGACGAGAAAUACUGAUACAGGGCUCUUUUGGGUCUUGUAAUUGGAAUGAGUACAAUUUAAAUCUCUUAACGAGGAACAAUUGGAGGGCAAGUCUGGUGCCAGCAGCCGCGGUAAUUCCAGCUCCAAUAGCGUAUAUUAAAGUUGUUGCAGUUAAAAAGCUCGUAGUUGAACCUUGGGCCUGGCUGGCCGGUCCGCCUCACCGCGUGCACUGGUCCGGCCGGGCCUUUCCCUCUGGGGAACCGCAUGCCCUUCACUGGGCGUGUCGGGGAACCAGGACUUUUACUUUGAAAAAAUUAGAGUGUUCAAAGCAGGCCUAUGCUCGAAUACAUUAGCAUGGAAUAAUAGAAUAGGACGUGUGGUUCUAUUUUGUUGGUUUCUAGGACCGCCGUAAUGAUUAAUAGGGACAGUCGGGGGCAUCAGUAUUCAAUUGUCAGAGGUGAAAUUCUUGGAUUUAUUGAAGACUAACUACUGCGAAAGCAUUUGCCAAGGAUGUUUUCAUUAAUCAGGAACGAAAGUUAGGGGAUCGAAGACGAUCAGAUACCGUCGUAGUCUUAACCAUAAACUAUGCCGACUAGGGAUCGGACGGUGUUAUUUUUUGACCCGUUCGGCACCUUACACGAAAGUACAAGUUUCUGGGUUCUGGGGGGAGUAUGGUCGCAAGGCUGAAACUUAAAGAAAUUGACGGAAGGGCACCACCAGGGGUGGAGCCUGCGGCUUAAUUUGACUCAACACGGGGAAACUCACCAGGUCCAGACAUGAAAAGGAUUGACAGAUUGAGAGCUCUUUCUUGAUUUUAUGGGUGGUGGUGCAUGGCCGUUCUUAGUUGGUGGAGUGAUUUGUCUGCUUAAUUGCGAUAACGAACGAGACCUUAACCUGCUAAAUAGCCCGCGU
rnacentral:rRNA from 1 species